rnacentral:rRNA from 8 species
CGCAGCAAACGCAUUAAGUGCCCCGCCUGGGGAGUACGGCCGCAAGGCUAAAACUCAAAGAAAUUGACGGGGGCCCGCACAAGCGGCGGAGCAUGCGGAUUAAUUCGAUGCAACGCGAAGAACCUUACCAAGGCUUGACAUGCACCGGUAACACUCAGAGAUGGGUGCCCCGCAAGGUCGGUGCACAGGUGGUGCAUGGUUGUCGUCAGCUCGUGUCGUGAGAUGUUGGGUUAAGUCCCGCAACGAGCGCAACCCUCGUCCCAUGUUGCCAGCGGGUUAUGCCGGGGACUCAUGGGAGACUGCCGGGGUCAACUCGGAGGAAGGUGGGGAUGACGUCAAAUCAUCAUGCCCCUUAUGUCUUGGGCUUCACGCAUGCUACAAUGGCCGGUACAAAGGGCUGCGAUACCGCGAGGUGGAGCGAAUCCCAAAAAGCCGGUCUCAGUUCGGAUUGGGGUCUGCAACUCGACCCCAUGAAGUCGGAGUCGCUAGUAAUCGCAGAUCAGCAACGCUGCGGUGAAUACGUUCCCGGGCCUUGUACACACCGCCCGUCAAGUCAUGAAAGUCGGUAACACCCGAAGCCGGUGGCCCAACC